rnacentral:rRNA from 1 species
AGCCCAAGACACCUUGCUUAGCCACACCCCCAAGGGAAUUCAGCAGUAAUAAACAUUAAGACAUAAGUGAAAACUUGACUUAAUUAGGGUUAUGAGGGCCGGUAAAAUCCGUGCCAGCCACCGCGGUUAUACGAAAGACCCCAGUUUAUAGAUUACGGCGUAAAGGGUGGUUAAGAGAAAAACCAAAAUAAAGCUAAAGAUCCCCUAAGCAGUCAUACGCUCCACGGGGACACGAAAUCCAAACACGAAAGUUGCCUUAAAUAAACUUUACCUGACCCCACGAAAGCUGAAAAACAAACUGGGAUUAGAUACCCCACUAUGUUCAGCCUUAAACCCAGAUGAAAACUUUACUUAAUCAUCCGCCAGGGGACUACAAGCACAGCUUAAAACCCAAAGGACUUGGCGGUGCCUCAGACCCACCUAGAGGAGCCUGUUCUAGAACCGAUAACCCCCGUUAAACCUCACCACCCCUUGCCUUUCCCGCCUAUAUACCGCCGUCGUCAGCUUACCCUGUGAAGGCCCAAUAGUAAGCAAAAUGGGUUCAACCCAAAACGUCAGGUCGAGGUGUAGCGCACGAGGUGGGAAGAAAUGGGCUACAUUUUCUACCACAGAAUACUACGAAUAAUGCCAUGAAAACGGCAUCUGAAGGAGGAUUUAGCAGUAAAAAGUAAAUAGAGUGUACUUUUGAAUUAGGCUCUGAGGCGCGCACACACCGCCCGUCACUCUCCCC